AAUGCCAAACAGGAUUGAAUCAGGAUUUUUUAAUGUCUAUUAUACACCCUGCCAAAAUACACUUCCCAAGCAAGAAGCGUUUCUCUUCAAGCAGCCGUUGAGCAUGCAGGCAAGUGGUGACUUGUUCCAUACCGUGCAGCCUUAUUAAUGCACCGCUUCUUUUUAAGGGACAUACCCUUUGAGGUAAUUUACAGAAUAAAGAUAAAAAUUCCCAAAUUAAAAAAUUUGCCAAAUUAUAGCUCCUCCCAGGGGAACCACAAAAACUCUCACCUACUGUUUGUUGUGGGUCCGGCAGACGUGGGACUGGAAGGGUGAAAGAUGGAGUGAGAUGUCUUCCUCCUGGCAAGUAAGGGGACUGAUUGGACAAGAAGCCAGUUUGGAGGUUGUGCCAAGUGGCAUCAGCAGGAAGAGGAAGCUCUGAGAGCUAGAGAUGAAACUAUCCUGUGAUGAAACUGAAUAUCAGGGAAGAUAAGACAUUGAUGCUGUUCCUUCAACCUGUAUCCUGAAAUGAGAAUUUAUGUGGAACAGAGGUGAAGAAGAUCUGUGACUCCAAGCAAAUAAAGAAAUGGUGGAAUAAAGCUAAGUUAUGAAAUCCUCAAACACGAGACAGUCAAGCCUCCCAUCACAGACACUUCGGCAGCUGGAGGAACUGCAGGCUGG